rnacentral:rRNA from 1 species
CUCUAUACGGAGUUACAAAGGACGACAUUAGACGAAUCAUCUGGAAAGAUGAAUCAAAGAAGGUAAUAAUCCUGUAGUCGAAAAUGUUGUCUCUCUUGAGUGGAUCCUGAGUACGACGGAGCACGUGAAAUUCCGUCGGAAUCUGGGAGGACCAUCUCCUAAGGCUAAAUACUCUCUAGUGACCGAUAGUGAACCAGUACCGUGAGGGAAAGGUGAAAAGCACCCCGGAAGGGGAGUGAAAUAGAACCUGAAACCGUGUGCUUACAAGUAGUCAGAGCCCGUUAAUGGGUGAUGGCGUGCCUUUUGUAGAAUGAACCGGCGAGUUACGAUUUGAUGCAAGGUUAAGCAGUAAAUGUGGAGCCGUAGCGAAAGCGAGUCUGAAUAGGGCGUUUAGUAUUUGGUCGUAGACCCGAAACCAGGUGAUCUACCCUUGGUCAGGUUGAAGUUCAGGUAACACUGAAUGGAGGACCGAACCGACUUACGUUGAAAAGUGAGCGGAUGAACUGAGGGUAGCGGAGAAAUUCCAAUCGAACCUGGAGAUAGCUGGUUCUCUCCGAAAUAGCUUUAGGGCUAGCCUCAAGUGAUGAUUAUUGGAGGUAGAGCACUGUUUGGACGAGGGGCCCCUCUCGGGUUACCGAAUUCAGACAAACUCCGAAUGCCAAUUAAUUUAACUUGGGAGUCAGAACAUGGGUGAUAAGGUCCGUGUUCGAAAGGGAAACAGCCCAGACCACCAGCUAAGGUCCCAAAAUAUAUGUUAAGUGGAAAAGGAUGUGGCGUUGCCCAGACAACUAGGAUGUUGGCUUAGAAGCAGCCAUCAUUUAAAGAGUGCGUAAUAGCUCACUAGUCGAGUGACACUGCGCCGAAAAUGUACCGGGGCUAAACAUAUUACCGAAGCUGUGGAUUGUCCUUUGGACAAUGGUAGGAGAGCGUUCUAAGGGC